AUUUAAAUAGUUUAAAAAAAAUUUUAAUUUGUGGGAUUAAGGAUUAUAGCGAUUAUAUUUAAAUA
rnacentral:tRNA from 1 species